ACUUCUCCAAGAAUAAAAGGACGUAACCUAUGCCCAUAUGCUUCAAUCUUAAAACAAACAAAUUCAUAUUUCUGCACAUUAUUCCCUCAUCACAAUGAAGAUCACAGCUCUCAUUCUCCUCUUGCUCUUCAUAUCUUCAUCUUCAGGGUUAAGUGAAAACCUCAAAGGUGUCGAAACCCUCCCAAGUCUCCCACGCAAGGUGAUGAUGAGAGAGCUGAUAAGCGCGAGCGCCAUGCUGGAUUACUGUGAAGGUGGAGCAAACACAUCCCAUGAUCCUGGCAAGGGCAAACACUGUUAACAAUUGCUGAAGAUCGUAACCAAUAAACUAAGUGCUAGCUGAAUAUGCAUAUGCUUGCAAUCGAAGACAUAUAUAUAGAGCAUUGAACCAAAAUAUAAUAUUGUCAGCGAGCUUCGUCUAGGUCGAAAAGAAGUUGUAGUAUCUUUUUUUUGUUUUUGCCACUAAUUAAUUUAGUACAAUAUAUGCAUCUUCAGUCCCAAUCGAAUUAUUUGCACCAAA